AUUGAACGCUGGCGGCAUGCCUUACACAUGCAAGUCGAACGGCAGCACGGGAGCUUGCUCCUGGUGGCGAGUGGCGAACGGGUGAGUAAUGCAUCGGAACGUACCCAGGAGUGGGGAUAACUAUCCGAAAGGAUAGCUAAUACCGCAUAUUCUGUGAGCAGGAAAGCGGGGGAUCGCAAGACCACGCGCCCUUGGAGCGGCCGAUGUCGGAUUAGGGAGUUGGUGAGGUAAAAGCUCACCAAGGCGACGAUCCGUAGCAGGUCUGAGAGGAUGAUCUGCCACACUGGGACUGAGACACGGCCCAGACUCCUACGGGAGGCAGCAGUGGGGAAUUUUGGACAAUGGGGGCAACCCUGAUCCAGCCAUGCCGCGUGAGUGAAGAAGGCCUUCGGGUUGUAAAGCUCUUUCGGCGGGGAAGAAAUGGCAACGGCUAAUAUCCGUUGUUGAUGACGGUACCCGCAUAAGAAGCACCGGCUAACUACGUGCCAGCCGCCGCAGUAAAAC
rnacentral:rRNA from 1 species